rnacentral:rRNA from 1 species
CUAGUUGGUGGGGUAACGGCCUACCAAGGCGACGAUCUGUAGCGGGUCUGAGAGGAUGAUCCGCCACACUGGGACUGAGACACGGCCCAGACUCCUACGGGAGGCAGCAGUGGGGAAUAUUGGACAAUGGGCGAGAACCUGAUCCAGCCAUGCCGCGUGUGUGAAGAAAGCCUUUUGGUUGUAAAGCACUUUUAGCGGAGGAGAGGCUCUCGAGUUUAUACUCUUGAAUAGUGGACGUUACUCGCAGAAUAAGCACCGGCUAACUCUGUGCCAGCAGCCGCGGUAAUACAGAGGGUGCGAGCGUUAAUCGGAUUUACUGGGCGUAAAGCGUGCGUAGGCGGCUUUUUAAGUNGGAUGUGAAAUNCCUGAGCUUAANUUNNGAAUUGCNUUCGAUACUGGGAAGCUNGAGUAUGGGAGAGGAUGGUAGAAUUNCNGGUGUAGNGGUGAAAUGNGUAGNGAUNNNGAGGAAUACCGAUGGCGAAGGCAGCCAUNUGGCCUAAUANUGACGNUGAGGUACGAAAGCAUGGGGAGCNAACNGGAUUAGAUACCCUGGUAGUNCAUGCCGUANANGANGUNUACUAGCCGUUGGGGCCUUUGAGGCUUUAGUGGNGCAGNUAACGCGAUAAGUAGACCGCCUGGGGAGUNCGGUCGCAAGACUNAAANUCAAAUGAAUUGACGGGGGCCCGCACCAGCGGUGGGGCAUGUGGUUUAAUUUGAUGCAACGCGAAGAACCUUACCUGGUUUUGACAUAGUAAGAACUUUCCAGGGAAGGAUUGGUGCCUUUGGGAAAUUACAUACAGGUGCUGCAUGGCUGUUGUCAGCUCGUGUCGUGAGAAGUUGGGUUAAGUCCCGCAACGAGCGCAACCCUUUUCCUUAUUUGCCAGCGGGUUAAGCCGGGAACUUUAAGGAUACUGCCAGUGACAAACUGGAGGAAGGCGGGGACGACGUCAAGUCAUCAUGGCCCUUACGACCAGGGCUACACACGUGCUACAAUGGUCGGUACAAAGGGUUGCUACCUAGCGAUAGGAUGCUAAUCUCAAAAAGCCGAUCGUAGUCCGGAUUGGAGUCUGCAACUCG